CCUACGGGCGACAGCAGUGAGGAAUAUUGGUCAAUGGGCGCGAGCCUGAACCAGCCAAGUAGCGUGCAGGAUGACUGCCCUACGGGUUGUAAACUUCUUUUAUAAAGGCGUAAAGUGAGGCACGUGUGCCUUUUUGUAUGUACUUUAUGAAUAAGGAUCGGCUAACUCCGUGCCAGCAGCCGCGGUAAUACGGAGGAUCCGAGCGUUAUCCGGAUUUAUUGGGUUUAAAGGGAGCGUAGAUGGGUGGUUAAGUCAGUUGUGAAAGUUUGCGGCUCAACCGUAAAAUUGCCAUUUAUACUGGUAGCCUUGAGUACAGUUGAGGUAGGCGGAAUGCGUGGUGUAGCGGUGAAAUGCUUAGAUAUCACGCAGAACUCCGAUUGCGAAGGCAGCCUACCAAACUGCCACUGACAUUGAUGCACGAAAGUGUGGGUAUCAAACAGGAUUAGAUACCCGAGUAGUC
rnacentral:rRNA from 1 species